rnacentral:rRNA from 1 species
UACAGAGGUCUCAAGCGUUGUUCGGAUUCAUUGGGCGUAAAGGGCGCGUAGGCGGCCGCGUAAGUCCGGGGUGAAAUCCCCCAGCCCAACUGGGGAAGUGCCUUGGAUACUGCGUGGCUCGAGCGGGGUAGGGGCAUGUGGAACUUCCGGUGGAGCGGUGAAAUGCGUAGAUAUCGGAAGGAACGCCGGUGGCGAAAGCGACGUGCUGGACCCCCCCUGACGCUGAGGCGCGAAAGCCAGGGGAGCGAACGGG